GACGAACGCUGGCGGCGUGCUUAACACAUGCAAGUCGAACGGAAAGGCCCUGCUUUUGUGGGGUGCUCGAGUGGCGAACGGGUGAGUAACACGUGAGUAACCUGCCCUUGACUUUGGGAUAACUUCAGGAAACUGGGGCUAAUACCGGAUAGGAGCUCCUGCUGCAUGGUGGGGGUUGGAAAGUUUCGGCGGUUGUGGAUGGACUCGCGGCUUAUCAGCUUGUUGGUGGGGUAGUGGCUUACCAAGGCUUUGACUGGUAGCCGGCCUGAGAGGGUGGCCGGCCACAUUGGGACUGAGAUACGGCCCAGACUCCUACGGGAGGCAGCAGUGGGGAAUAUUGCACAAUGGGCGGAAGCCUGAUGCAGCAACGCCGCGUGCGGGAUGACGGCCUUCGGGUUGUAAACCGCUUUCGCCUGUGACGAAGCGUGAGUGACGGUAAUGGGUAAAGAAGCACCGGCUAACUACGUG
rnacentral:rRNA from 1 species